rnacentral:rRNA from 1 species
UACGUAGGGUGCAAGCGUUGUCCGGAAUUAUUGGGCGUAAAGAGCUCGUAGGCGGCCUGUUGCGUCCGCUGUGAAAGCCCGGGGCUUAACCCCGGGUCUGCAGUGGAUACGGGCAGGCUAGAGGUAGGUAGGGGAGAAUGGAAUUCCCGGUGUAGGGGUGAAAUGCGCAGAUAUCGGGAGGAACACCGGUGGCGAAGGCGGUUCUCUGGGCCUUACCUGACGCUGAGGAGCGAAAGCGUGGGGAGCGAACAGG